rnacentral:rRNA from 1 species
UGCGUAGGUGGUGAGGUAAGUCGGAUGUGAAAUCUCCAGGCUCAACCUGGAAAUGGCAUCGGAAACUGCCUUGCUCGAGGUUUGGAGGGGGGACUGGAAUUCUUGGUGUAGCAGUGAAAUGCGUAGAUAUCAAGAGGAACACCAGUGGCGAAGGCGAGUCCCUGGACAACACCUGACACUGAGGCACGAAAGCUAGGGAGCAAACA